UUACUUACUUGGUUGGGGAGAUACAGUCAGGGAGGUGGUUUUCCCAGAGCGAGUUCUAUCUGUUACCCUCAGGAUGUGCUGACCCCUGCGAUUUCCUCAAAUGUGGGGAAACUCGGCUGUAUAAUUUGUGGGGGGCUGGUAGUGUAUUGGCCCUUUCCCUUG
ensembl:snRNA U1 U1 spliceosomal RNA